AUACGUAUGGGGCAAGCGUUAUCCGGAUUCAUUGGGCGUAAAGCGCGUGUAGGCGGCUUGUUAAGUCAGAUGUGAAAACCGGGGGCUUAACCCGCGGCGUGCAUCUGAAACUGGCAGGCUUGAGUCUGGUAGAGGAAAGUGGAAUUCCUAGUGUAGCGGUGAAAUGCGCAGAUAUUAGGAGGAACACCAGUGGCGAAGGCGGCUUUCUGGGCCACGACUGACGCUGAGACGCGAAAGCUAGGGGAGCAAACAGGAUUAGAAACCCUAGUAGUCC
rnacentral:rRNA from 1 species